rnacentral:rRNA from 1 species
GACGAACGCUGGCGGCGCGCUUAACACAUGCAAGUCGAGCGAGAACCAGGGCUUCGGCCCUGGGGAAAGCGGCGAACGGGUGAGUAACACGUGAGUAAUCCACCCUCGGCACCGGGAUAGCCCGGGGAAACCCGGAUUAAUACCGGAUGGCCCGCCGGCCCUGCGGGGCUGGUGGAAAAGGUAGCUUCGGCCUCCGGCCGAGGACGAGCUCGCGGCGGAUUAGCUUGUGGGCGGGGUAACGGCCCACCAAGGCGACGAUCCGUAGCUGGUCGGGGGGGACGAUCAGCCACACUGGGACGGAGACACGGCCCAGACUCCUACGGGAGGCAGGAGUGGGGAAUCUUGCGCAAUGGGCGAAAGCCUGACGCAGCGACGCCGCGUGAGGGAAGAAGGCCUUCGGGUUGUAAACCUCUUUCAGUAGGGACGAAGCCACUCGGGUGAAUAGCCCAGAGGGUGACGGUACCUACAGAAGAAGCCCCGGCUAACUACGUGCCAGCAGCCGCCGUAAUAC